UGAGUGUGAAAGACUGUGUGUGUGUGUGUGUGUGUGUGUGUGUGUGUGUGUGUGUGAGAGAGAGAGAGAGAGACACACACACUGAGUGUGUGUGUGUGUGUGAGAGAGAGACGCAUGCUGGCCCUUUAAGUAUGCUGCCCGUUUAAGUAGAUUGGCACUCACCAGUCUGAAGCCUGUUUGUUCAGACAGAGAAGCAGCUGCCAGCAAGCUCUGUCCCACUCCUGAACCCUGUCGUGUCCCCUCCCUUGCUCUAUGGAGAUGGGGUACAGGGGUGGGGGAGGGGGACAUCCUGACAUCAGUGCCCCCUUCUCUCUUCCCCCCUCCCCCGCCUCUGCUCUGCACAGCAAGCAGGAGGCUCUCAGGAGCAGCUGGCCAAGGGCUCCAAGGCAGAGGGAAGGAGUAGCGCGGCAGUGGGGGGAGGGGUACCUGAAGUGCAAGACACUGGAUAGACUGCUGGGUGGCCACAUAGCUUAGAGGGAACUUAGGUCCUAGGUAGAGCACUAUAAUACUCAUCCUAGACAUGACAAAGGUAUAAAUAACUGUGGGAAGGGAUCUAAGGAAAAAGGUCAGACUCACUUAGCUAGUUGCAGAUUGAAAAAACAAAUACUCUUGACCACAGUUGCUGAGUGUCUAGGAGGAAGGUGAGGGACCAAAACAGCUGCCUGAAUUGCAGACCAUAUUGAGAAUGAGCGAAUGUGGCCCCUCUCAAGAGAAGGGAGCAGACAUGAUCCUACUUAAAGCCCUUCACAGGCUUCCCUGGAUGAUGACAACAUCCUCCUCCUCACAUGUUACCAUCUUUUUUUCCUCAAUCUGACAUAAAAAGGCCACUUUUCACAGAGGCCUGUUUUCUUCUGUUUUCUUACAGCAGUCUGCAUGCUAAUGUUAGAGCUCUCCAUGUAAAUCUCCUGCAGGUCAAAUGGAGGUUAACACCAGCUAUUUGAGUUGCUAUAUAUAAAAAAUGGUUUUCUAAUAGUUGAUUAAUAACCUUGUUAGUGUCUUUUCUUUUGGCUCUGUGCUAUUUACUAAGUUCGGACCAGUUGCCAUACUCUUUAUUCUAGCAGUUUAGGAUAAAGUUUCAUGGCAUCUCUAUAUAGUAUUUAAAGAUUUUUUUGAGUGAUUGAGAAAUAAAUAUUCACAAUGAGAUGAUGAAAGGAAUUCUAGAAUUCACAAUCCUGAACUAGCUGUAGUCUGACAUUCUGUCAGCUAUUCCUAAGGGAUAGCUGCUGGAUGUUUUUAGAAAGUGCAUUAUUACUCCAUGCAAUCUUUCAAACUCCUCCUGCUCUUCAUUUUUAUUUUUUAUAUAUUUGCACUUGGCAUUGUCCAUCUUACUAAACCGGCUCACUUUUUACACUUCAUCUGCUGUGUGUCACGAGUGACACUUCAAAUUUGACAUAUCCAAAAAACCUGCCUAAAAACAACAUUGAAGUUUUGAGCUAAAUAAACAAAUACAAGGCCAUCCUGUCACUUUUAUUUUUAACAUGCCUUGUUCUGCCGACAUUUUGCAGGAUGAUACCCCAAACAUGACAAUGACCUGACACUCCUGCUAUGCCUAGGCUAGUGGAAUAACUUGUAUUGGAAGUUUUAACCUUAGCUCCAAAUGUAAUAGCCUGGUCAGUGGAGCAUCAGAUGCAGAAUGCUACUGAGAUUUUUUUCUUAAAUCUCUGCUUGCAGAGUAAUAUAUUAACAUGGUAAGUAAAUUGCUCCUGGGAUUGUGCAUUAGUUUACUUUUAAAUAUCAACUACAAAUUUUCACUUCAAAUGUGUUUUUGUUAGCAUAAAAGGAAAAGUAGCUUCCCUUAGUACUGGAGCAAAUAGCACUGGAAAAUACAGCAGGAAACAAGAGGUGAAAGAAGCAUACAAAAGUGAGCUAUUGCUAUAGCUAGAGUUACCCUCUCUCCUGCCCUAAUUUACUUAAAAUGUUGCCAAAAGUCAAUCCUGAACUGGUUGGCUGAUUUUCUUUUGAUGGAGGUGUAGGCUACACCAUACCUGCAGUUCAAGCGCUGGAGUCCUACCUGAAAAAUCACUGAUAUCUUACCCAGAGUUGAUCUCUUUUGCUACACCAGCAUUAUAAGAGGUGAAUAUGGCCAACAUUAAUCAAAGCUGUAAGUAAGGUACUUUAGCUUCUCACCCUCUCAAAUGGGAUUAGUGUUAUCUGCCCUUAUGGGUCCCCCUUUUGAUCUGUUAGCCUCCUGCUUGUGGUCUUUUUAGUGACCAUCACCUCCAUGAGGAGAGUAGGUGAGCUGCAUGUCCAUGAUCCUCCAUAUACUGUUUUGUUAAGGACGAGGUAUAGCUUAGGCCACAGUUUCUCUCCAAAGGAGUAUAUGUCUUCCAUCUCAGUCAGUAUGUUUACUGGUUUUCUUUCCAAAGCCACAAGCUUGUAAGGACGAACCAAAGCUCUACAUUCUGGAUGUUCUGGCUUUUUCUCUAGAUAGAAUGAAGCCCUUUCAGAUCUCUUCUCAACUAUUAGUCUCCUGUGCAAAACAAUGAUUGUCCAAGUGGAUCAUCAGCUCUGUUGUCAUGUGCUACAACACUAAGGUUGCCACCGCUCAAGAAACACCAUCUGUGCUUUCAACCAGAGCACGCAACAUCCACAACAUUUGUAGGAAACAUCCCUAUUGUGGACACGUGUAGAGCAGCAAUGUGAUCGAGACAUUGUGAUUGCCACCGGGUCAAGGGAAGAUACUAAUGUAGGGAAUGCAGUCCUGCAGUCCCUCUUCCAGUGAGAUUCCUAGCCCCACCUCCAGUGGAAACUGCACGGGAGUCGCCUAGUUUAAUGGACAUAUGUAACCACUCAAAGAAGCAAGAACCGUUACUCACCUCUCAUAACUCUUGUUCUUCAAGAUGCAUUGCAUGUCCAUUAUAGAGCUCACCCUGCUUCCCCAAACUUCCAGAUGUUUAAUCUAAGGGUCGGGUAUGAAGGAAGUGAAGGGUGGGCAGCAUGGCUCUGCCCUUUAGACCCUCGGCUUGGAGCAUGAGGGCACCAGGCAGAGGCAUGGCCCCUAUGGAUACCGCUAGGGAAAACUCGUCAGCACCGGUGCACGGGAUGCCCACACAUGUAGUGUAAUGAACAUAUACACCACAUCACGAAGAACAAUAGUUAUGAGAGGUGAGUAAUCAUUCUUUCCUGGUAUUGCCCUCUUUCCUUCUCUCACUCUCUUUUUUCAUAUGAGCAGUAAGAAUGUUACUGAUAUAAUCUUUUCCCUCUAAUUGAUUGAUGCUUAAAGUGCUUCUAGCAUUUUCUAGACCUAAUAUGAAUAGUUUUAUUAUUAAAUAUAACUAGAUGACGGUAUUUACAAAAUGCAGGGAUGGGUGUAGUGGUUUGCUGAAAUGAAACUGCACUGUCUCCAACACCUGAAAGCAUUUUUGAGCGAUAGUUCUCCAGGUAUGCUUGAGGUUUGGAGACCUGCUGGCACCUAGCCAAAGGAUUUUGUGUAUAUGUUGAUGAAUUUUAGGUUAUUUUAAUAUUAUUGUGUUAAUUAACAAGAACUCAAAGCUGAUAAAUUUCCAAGCUGUUCUGAAAGAUUUUCUCCCCUGGCAGAAAUAAAAUGUUUGACAAAA